UACAGAGGGUGCGAGCGUUGUUCGGAAUUAUUGGGCGUAAAGCGCGCGCAGGCGGGAUGGUAAGUCGGAUGUGAAAGCCCUCGGCUCAACCGAGGAAGUGCGUUCGAAACUACUGUUCUUGAGUGUCGGAGAGGGUGGCGGAAUUCCCGGUGUAGAAGUGAAAUUCGUAGAUAUCGGGAGGAACACCAGAGGCGAAGGCGGCUCACUGGCUCAUACUGGACGCUGAGGUGCGAAAGCGUGGGGAGCAAACAGG
rnacentral:rRNA from 1 species